AAAACGACUCUCGGCAACGGAUAUCUCGGCUCUCGCAUCGAUGAAGAACGUAGCGAAAUGCGAUACUUGGUGUGAAUUGCAGAAUCCCGUGAACCAUCGAGUCUUUGAACGCAAGUUGCGCCCCAAGCCUUCUGGCCGAGGGCACGUCUGCCUGGGUGUCANAA
rnacentral:rRNA from 1 species